UACGUAGGCAGCGAGCGUUGUUCGGAGUUACUGGGCGUAAAGGGUGUGUAGGCGGUUGUUUAAGUUUGGUGUGAAAUCUCCCGGCUCAACUGGGAGGUGCGCCGAAUACUGAAUGACUUCGAGUGCGGGAGAGGAAAGUGGAAUUCCUGGUGUAGCGGUGAAAUGCGUAGAUAUCAGGAGGAACACCGGUGGUGUAGACGGCUUUCUGGACCGUAACUGACGCUGAGACACGAAAGCGUGGGCAGCAAACAGG
rnacentral:rRNA from 1 species